rnacentral:rRNA from 1 species
AGGGUUCGAUUAUGGCUCAGAACGUACGCUGGCGGCACGCCUAACACAUGCAAGUCGAACGAAGUAGCAAUACUUAGUGGCAGACGGGUGAGUAACAUGUAGGUAUCUACCCUUUGGCCUGGAAUAACACGAGGAAACUUGUGCUAAUACCGGAUAAGUCUUUACGGAGAAAGCUUUAUGCACCAUUGGAUGAGCCUGCAUUUGAUUAGUUUGUUGGUAGGGUAAUGGCCUACCAAGACUUUGAUCAAUAGCUGAUUUGAGAGGAUGAUCAGCCACAUUGGGACUGAGACACGGCCCAAACCCCUACGGGAGGCAGCAGUGGGGAAUCUUGCACAAUGGAGGAAGCUCUGAUGCAGCGAUGCCGCGUGAGUGAAGAAGGCCUUUGGGUUGUAAAGCUCUUUCGUCGGGGAAGAAAAUGACUGUACCCGAAUAAGAAGGUCCGGCUAACUUCGUGCCAGCAGCCGCGGUAAUAC